UUACGGCCAUAUCACGUUGAAACUCCGGUUCUCGUAUGAUCACCGAAGUUAAGCAACGUCGAGCCUGGUCAGACGGGUGACCCCUUGGGAAUACCAGAUGCU